rnacentral:rRNA from 1 species
UACGAAGGGGGCUAGCGUUGUUCGGAAUUACUGGGCGUAAAGCGCACGUAGGCGGAUUGUUAAGUCAGGGGUGAAAUCCUGGAGCUCAACUCCAGAACUGCCUUUGAUACUGGCGAUCUUGAGUUCGGGAGAGGUGAGUGGAACUGCGAGUGUAGAGGUGAAAUUCGUAGAUAUUCGCAAGAACACCAGUGGCGAAGGCGGCUCACUGGCCCGAUACUGACGCUGAGGUGCGAAAGCGUGGGGAGCAAACAGG